rnacentral:rRNA from 1 species
UACAGAGGUCUCAAGCGUUGUUCGGAUUCAUUGGGCGUAAAGGGUGCGUAGGCGGCGCGGUAAGUCGGGAUGUGAAAUCUCGGAGCUUAACUCCGAAACUGCAUUCGAUACUGCCGUGCUUGAGGACUGGAGAGGAGACUGGAAUUUACGGUGUAGCGGUGAAAUGCGUAGAUAUCGUAAGGAAGACCAGUGGCGAAGGCGGGUCUCUGGACAGUUCCUGACGCUGAGGCACGAAGGCCAGGGGAGCAAACGGG